CCAGGGCACUGCUCUGCUCAGGCACUUCUGGCACCCCUCUAAACCAGUCCAACAUCUCGCCGCUGAACUUUGGGCCAAUACUUUCUUGCUUUCCUCCCCUCAUUGAGAGCUAAAUGGUUUUCUGAACACACCCCUUUCCUGUCGCAAUAUUGCAGAAUUUUAGGGGAAGUCCAAACAAGCUCCUGUUCUUGCUCACAAACACAACAGAAGAGAAGAGCGCAGUGCUUUGGUAGCUGGUUAACUUUCCUGCUGCUUACAGGUGUUUUUUUUCCUCCUCCCAAAAUGGCAAGGUCUAGGAAAGAUAUCUACUGUACAAUGUGUAUAGUUGCGCUACUCCUAUGGGCUGUAGCCACUAGUGUUACCAUCAUACUUCUUUCCACGACAGACACGAUGAAAACUCUAACUCAGUGUAAAAUGGAAUUACAGAAUGAAACUCAAAAGCACCUGCAGGAGAAGUCCUCGUGGGAGAAGGACAGGAAAACCCUUAAGGAGCUCCUGGAGAAAGGACGUGUAAAUCAGACCAGGCUGCAGCGUGAUCUUGCCGUGAGCCAGGGACAGCUGAAGCAGAGUGAUGAGUCCCUAAUGGCAUGUCUGCGGGACAUGAAACUAUUAAAUGGAACCAAAACAUUCCUGCAAAGAAAAAUUGAUGAGGAGCAAAAAAAGUGUGCCAAUGACAAAAAGCAUCUAGAAGAUACGUUGACUUCAGAUUUUCAACAGAAGCUCCAGGAAGAAAAGAAAAAGUACAAGCAAGAAUGUGAAAAACAGAAGAAAGAGCUGGGCAGUCAGGGUGAAUCUUUAAAUGGGGCAUCUGGUGGGCACAAACCUGAAUACUGCUGCUUCAUUUAUGCCUUGGGUGUAGCAGUACUAAUGACCCCUCUCCUUUUUUGAUCUGAGGGUGUGGCAGAAGAGGCUUUGAGUGCAGAGCUGUGAAGUAUGAAGAAGACAUCGCUCCCCAGCGCAGCAGAGCUCAGUUCCCAUGCCUUGACAUAGAAGAAUGCAGUAGUGCCACAUUAAACUGCUGAUACAUUUUUAGAGCACCUCACCUUAUUAUAAGGGAUCAAAAAAGCAAACCGAAAAUGGUCGCUACGCCACCUACUCUUUGUACCUGUAUUUAUCUGAGAAAGAGAAUUGAGUAAAAGGAGAAAGGAGUGAGCAUUUAACCUCAUUUCAAAAUCAUCUGCUUCAGUACAUUGGACACUUUUUGGGUCACAUGAUGGCCUUGUUCUAGAAUGUCUGCAGCAUUAAGAGAAAAUUGCUCGGGUGGGAAAGGUAAAGUAUUAAUACAAUAUGUACUGAAUAGGACAGGGUUAAUUCAGUGACUGUUCUAUGUUCUCAAAGCUCAGCAGUCUGAAAAGUUCAAUCAUCCAAAAAGGUAUUUUAUACAAAACUUUAAUACUGUUUGUACUUUUAAUUUUUUAACAUGAAAUAAAACACAAUAAGUAAUGCCAA